AUCAGGAUUCAAGUAAUUACCUAAUUCUAACACCUGUAAUCUCUCCACUGAUCUUUCCAUUGAUCCAGACAUUUCUGAAAUCUCUGAGACUUCACCAAAUCCAAGAUGUGAAGUGCCUAUCCUCCAGGCCCAUCAAAUCCGUCUUUGAUUCGAGUAUCCAGUUCUACCCCAUGCGACUUCUGUAAAGCGAAGGGGCAGAGAAGACCCCCCCACAUACAAGAGUACUUGAGCCAUCACGAGAUGCCUCACCCUACAGCUGGACGGAUUCUCCUAAGGCAACCUGAAGACACAGCACAAGAAUUGCACACCGCCUGCAACUAGAACCCAGCUGCUGGAGGACUGGUGCUUUAUCUUGUUCCCAGGUGUAAUCUCGCAGCUUUGACUAGC
rnacentral:lncRNA from 1 species